CACAAACUCACCGUCAACAGUGAAAUGCGCAGGCGUGGGCGGUGUGUUCAUACCGUGCUGUUUGGAGAUGACGAGCGGGGGGUUCAUGGCUGCUAUUUUAUUGAUUUUUAUUAGAGACGGAGCACUCGGCACUACCACCGCUCCCACGCUGGAAGGCGCGGGUUUCCGCGGGAGCGACGUCGGCGCUGACGACCUUUCCCUGGAAAGCCCGGCUUCCCUUUUCGGGUGGGACGCGUCCCGCGAGGGUAGGCCUCUGCCCCGCUGGGUGCGGGGAGCCAACGACCUGCCGCCGCGGCCGGACUGGGACAGCGCCGCCACCUGGUGGAUGACUUCGCUGGCGGAGCCGCUUGCGGUGGGCGAAAGCUGCCGGCAGCUGCUGUGGGACUUCGCCCAGAGCAGCGCGUCUCUGAUCAGCUGCGUGGUGAAGAACGCCCGUCCGGUGCGGCUUUGCGAGGAGUGCACACCGCAGUUUCAAAGCUUGUGGGAGGCAUUCGCCAACAUCUCAAAAAAUUCAGGGAAUGUAAGCUGUUCAAAACAGCUCUUGAGAUCCGACCGUUUGCAGCUAAUCUUGAACAUGAAUAACUAUCUGCAAAAAAUUUGGACUGACUCCAUGUGUGAUGCGUGCUUAAAUGAAAACAAAACAGCACCAUCAAUGGACACUUUAACCUUUAGGAAGAUGCUGAAUGAUUCUUUGAGUUGUUUUGACCAUUACUCAUUGAAACGCACAGCUCUCAGGAACAAUUCUGAUGUUUGCGUGAAGUGUAAAGUUUUUUACAACAAUUUAACUGAAUGGUACUAUAGCUUGGUGGAUAAGCAGAGCUUGUGUAUUGACAUCAUUGAUGCAAUGAACUUGACACAGCAGCUCUGGAGCAAAACCUACAACUGCACUGUCCCUUGCAGUGAUACUAUUCCAGUCAUUGCAGUGUCAACAUUUCUUCUUUUCCUACCUGUCAUCUUCUACCUCAGCAGCUUCCUUCACUCUGAGCAGAAGAAAUGGAAGCUUAUGGAGCGAUAUGCUGUUGUGAGAUUCUUUCCUCUGGUUAGACAGUCUAGAGCUGCAAUCAGUCAUCUGAGAACAAGGAGUUGCCCAUUUUGGACUGAAAGGAGGAAAUUACUUUGCUCAGGGCUGGUAACCUUUGGAAUUCUCUACCCCAAAAAACUUGCUCAGUUUUUGAGUAUAGUUAAGGCUGGGAUUUGAGAGAUUUUGGGGCACUAAAGAAAAUCGCAACAAGACUGCAAGAUGGGAAGCUAAACGCUUGAAGCCUUGCAGUAGCACAGCACAUAUUGAAGACCGAUCUUCCUGAAAUUCUGCCAAUACGUUCUUUCUUCUUUAAAGAAAGAAGACCAAAUCUUUCUCAUGCAGAAAUAACAACAUUUGUGAGGAAAUGUAAUAGCAAUAAAUAUGUGGUUUUUGGACAACGCGUCCUUUGUAUUUGUAAUUUGAACACUUAAUGGUGUUUAAGAAAUUAUCUACUGAAAAUGUGCAUGUUGGAAAUGCGUUCAAAGCCACAUGAAGACUGCUAAAGAUACUUAUUUAUCUUGUGUUUUUUGCCUCUGCCUUAAGUUUAAGUCUGUAACUGAAGAAAAAUUAAAACUUUAAAUUUGGUUUUAUUGAAGUGCCCUAAGUUAGGGUCGAUCUCAGCUUUUUCAAAUUUAACAUUCAACUCUAAUGUUUACACGUUGAGUUAAAAAGUUAACAGCAAUUGAGAGAAUUGCAAGCAUUUAAACCUAUAAGCUAGUUAGAUUGGUUUUGACUAAUUCUAAAAUACAGAUGAAUUAAAACAUACUGGAUGUUGUCCCCAGGAAUGAUGCGUCUUUUCCUGGUUUGAUAUGUUUCUAUUUUAACCCUGCUGAUUAUAAAUGAUGCACUAUUUUUCAAUAUGUAGUAGCACUGUAGUUAGUUGCCUGAGACAUCAAUUUUAGUUCUAAAUUUAGCUUGCUGAUUUUUUUUUAAUUUGGUUCUUUGUAAUUUAAAAAUACUGUGAUCAGGCACUACCGUAAAUAGCUAAAGUAGAUUCAGAAAAUAUUUUUAGAUUGAAACCAAGAAAUAGAACAGAUCCUCAAAAAAAUGAGGAAUACACGGCGUUUGUGACCAGAUGUCCUUGAUGUAUAGAAUAAUAAGUAACUGCAUAUCCAUGGCAUAGAAUGAUAGCUACAUGUUGUAAAGUUUGGAUGAUCUGUAUGGAAGGAUAUCGUGUGAAUAUUUUCAGAUGGUUUUCUCACCUGUAUUUUACCUUUUGUGUUCUUGCAAUCAGUGCUUGUCUGAAUUUUUAAAAUGGUACAUGGAUCUAUUGUGAGCUUACAUUGGGUACGCAGUGUGCGUGUGGGGUUUUUGGAUCAAUAACUUUUUAAGCAAGAAUGAAGCAUUCCAUUAUAUUCACCUACUGACUUGUGAAAAGUUUGUGGUGUUUUCUUCCCUGUUAUUUUAAUUAUCAGCUUUUUUGUUCAAACUUGGAUGUAUGGAAACAACACAAAGUUACAUUUUAAAUUAAAUUGUUUGUACACUCAUUCA